AUAUCAUCUUUUCUAAUCUGGGAUUGACUAAUCCUCCUGUGUUCCUGAUCCAGGCAAGGGGAGAGACAAACACCUGGUAACUGGGAAAUGGUUUUCUCAGCUGUGCUUGAGGUUUACAGAAUGGGUGGAAUAUUUUGAGGCUGCUUUCUCUGUGAAUGCAGGGUGGCGGUGGUGGUGGACUCUUGGGACCAUGUGCACCACCAUCAUGUUUCUCUCUACUCUGGCUUUUGUACUGCGCCAGCAUUUCUUCAGCCGAAGUAAGACCUUUCCAAAAGCCUCGCGGGAGAAGGAGUCACCAUCGGUGGAGAGCAAAGACACUGACAAGUGACACUCACUUAAUGGACAUCCAACUCAGAGCUGGGUUUUAGAUGUGGAAGCUGUGCUCAGGUCCAUGGAAAGACAGCUGAAUUCUCUUUUGGAGAAAUGUCCUCAGUCGAAAUGUGGAAACAGCCCAGUGGGUCCUCUAUCUCCUUUAAGCCACAGCAGGUCUCGCUCCAGUCAACAAGCUGAUCCGUAAAGUCAACUUUAGAUGCUUUUCAACUUUUUGAGCAAAACAAAUCCCAUAUUUUUGCCCCAAACAGUCACUUGGAGUAGACAGACUUUGAGCACUUCUUGUUGCCGGUUUUCCUUUAUUCCAGCAACAAAGAGCCCACAGAAGUGUACGCUCUGUGCCACGAGCACCAAACCUGCUGUGAUUGGCAGCUUUGUUGGAGGGGUUCUUUUUUUGGCUUGCUAAAAUCCCUGUGCAAUAAUCUCACCUCUUAAGUAGUUGUUUGACAUUACAGGGAGGAAAGCAAUUUCACACCCGGUUGUAUCAUUACUCAACUGUUCCAUAAGCGAUGAAAACCUGACGGUCUCUGGAAUGACUGAAAAACUUUCCGUCAUUACCGAGCUGCCAGACCAGAAAUAAACAAGUGUUUUCUGUGAUGUACACAUACAGCCUGCUGCAUCUUUAUUUGAAGGGAAAUCCACACCCACACCCCCAGCAGCACAAAAAAAUUAAAGCUCCCUGGCUUAUUCGUUUCUAUAAUUGAGCCUUUUGCUCUGCACAUGGAUUCACAAGCAUGUCGAAUUACGACUAAAUCAUAUAGCGUGACAAUGGGCCCCCUAUGCACAGGAUCUUGGCAAUUAAUACUGUUUUUCAUCUUUUUAUGGGCUGCAUCAUUUCCCUUGCCGACAAAUGAGAUCUUGUUAUUUCCUGCCUGAUUACAUAAGUGAUUGGAUCCUUAUUGAUAUUAAGGUUGUGCGCUGCCCCAGAGAUACCAGUGUGCGUUUAAUGAUACGUUCCAGUGGGAGCGACAGACCGCUAAGUUAUUUUCGAAAAGGGACCAAAACCGCCUCUGUGGCGGGAAUAUGGCCGACUGUUAUGCAUCUACUCUAUUAAGAACUCCAUUAUUGUGAAUAUCCCUGUUUGUCACUCUGACAACUGUGUACAACAAAUCCCUCCGGCUGAAGUACUCCACUGGCAGAAGCCCGGGGAACUAAUGAGCCUAAUAUGUCCCCAGGAACGUCGCCUCUGCCAAGUGUGCACUCUAAAUCCUCCUGUGUAAUCAAGGCGGUGCAGGACAUGGAUAUCUGCAGAUAGUGGCAGUAGUACUUCCAUAUCUCACUGUUGUCUCCUGCCCUGAUGAGUCUGUCUGACUCAAAUUACUAGGUGAAAGCGGGGUUUUUGUGCUGCCGGUAACGUGGAGUAGCUUGGGUAAUGACUAUGGUCUUCCUGAACACUCUGGUAGACCAUGGGAGAUAAUCUAAUGAAGGGGAGAGAGCCAUGGUUCAUAAUUGCCUGAGAGAGAAGCUGGAAGAAAGGUACACAUGGAGACUCAAACCUGUUUUUCCUGCGCGCUCCAAACUCAAAUGCUGCUGCAAAAGCAGGAGAGGAAUCAAGAGAUGCUGAUGAUAGUCGGACACAGAGCAUUUAAACAAUCAGACCUGUUCAGAGUCGUUCUGCACUGAUACGGUUUUAAGUGUUAAUGUUUUAGCUGAUUUUGAAAUGGGAUGUUACAGCCUGCUGCUGCAGACUCUUGGUUUUACACAAAGACACAAAAUAACAAAAAAAAACCCAGAAUGUAACCCAAACCUGUAACAUAAACUGGGAAAACUUCUAAGAAACCAUGAAACCUGGACACACAAGGAGAGGUGCGCAGAUAACCUGAUGAUGAACACAGGGAAACUCACGCAAUAAAUGCACAUGAGGGUGACGAGGGAAGUGGAAACACACGAGGAACGCAGCUGGGAUGAAUAGGCCUAAUGACACAAGAGGAAGCAAAACUGAACACACUGAACACGAGAUAAGAGACCAUCAAAAUAAAACAGGAACCGCGCAGACUAAGACACACAGACUUGACACUGGGACUGGGAAAGAACAGGAGAACAUGGAAACAGAGGGAGGUGAAGGGCUGGGGAGACAUGGCAUGAAACGUGGGAACAGAAAAGCGAGCGGAGACACGGAGGGAGACACAGACAUAACGAACAUAUACGUACACAUCAACAAGAAAACAUGGAUCAUAAUUCUAAUUAAACUUACAACCUAACCAGGUCUAAACUCUAUGCAAACUGUAAACACUAGAAGUUAAACAUUUCCCCAAAAUAGCAAAAAGGGAUCAAAAAUACAAAAUGCACUCAAAAUGCUGAGUCAACGGCCCAGCACGCUGACAUCGGAGAGGUUAUAAAGACUGAUGGCUGUGUUUCGUAUUCAUGUCGGUUGUCCUGUUUCACUAAUUUGUGCCUCCUCCUGUGUGUGACCUGGAAAUCAAUCUCAGUACACCAUGUUGUUAGACGUGUCUCAGCUCCUCAAAAUACAUCUUCAGGCCGGAGCGGAGCGGCGGCUUCACUAGAAGAGCGAUAACGGAGGAUACACACGUGUAUCCUUUUACAGAAGGAUUUUCUGUCGAUUACUGUUUCUAUGUAUUUUUAAUUUAAUUUAAAUUGUCCAUAAAUAUAAAAAAGACAUUAAAGGGUUGACUUAAUGAUGUGUUUCGGAUAAUUGUCCUGGCACAUAACCUGACUGAGCUUGAACUUCAGGACAUGAGCUGAUGGAGAGACGUCCUCCUUCAGGUCUUUCUGGUAGAGAGAAUUGAUGUUUCCAUCAGUUACAGUAAGUCGUCCUGAAGCAGCAAAGCAACCCCAGACCAUCACAUUACCACCACCAUGUUUGACUGUUGGUCCUUGUUUUUGUUUUUUUUUAAAUGAAAUGCUGUGUUAAUUUAUAACACGUGUAACAACACUCAAAACAUCCAAAAAAGUUCAUCCUUUGUCUCAUCAGUCCACUGAAUAUUUUCUGAAAAGUCUUGAGGAUCAUCAAGAUUGUCGAGAUGUUCUUAUCUUUCUCUCUUGCCAAAUGUGAGACGAGUCUUGGUGUUCUUUUUGGUCAGCAGUGGUUUUCUCCUUGGAUCUCCCAUGGAUGCUGUUUUGCCCAGUCUCAUGAACUCUGACCUUAACCAAGACAAGGAACAGAGUUCCUUAGACGUUGUUCUGGGUUCUGACCUCCUGGAUCAGUCGUUGAUCUCCUGUGAACAUUCACCACUGUUCCAAGUUGUCUCCAUUUGUGAAUAAUGGCUCUCACUUUGGUUCACUGGAGUCCCAAAGCAUUAAAAAUGUCUUUGUAACCCUUUUCAUAAUGAUAGACGAUAGAUGUUUCUGUGGAUCAUGACAUGAUCUGUUCAUUUUUGAGAUAUUUUAGACAUUUUCCACAGUUGUAACUUUAAAGCAAGGUGAGGAGGAUCAUUUUGUUAAAUACCCCUUUGCCUCACCUCCUCUGCUCUGGGACUGCAAUGUGAGGAGCGGAGUCAUGGAUGUGCAGUGGAAAUGAGAAGGGGAGUGUGUCUAUGGCUAACGUGUGGAGUGCAGCGGUUGAGAUGCAUUGUCCAUAAUAUCGAGUAGUUUCUUAAACAUCCUCCUAUUCACCACAAGGUCAGACAUCACAAAGAUGGACUUUCACAUCGAUUCAUCUGCUGCACAAAGAAGUUUAGUCUUAGACAUGUUAGGCAGGACAAGUUUAGACAUUUUUUUUUUCAAAUAACAAGAACACGGCUGAGUGACAGUAUCUAAACACCCAGCUCUAUUUACCGUGGUCGAAAAUGUUUGUAUUUGGGAAGAAUUCAACGGUUAUGAUGACGUUUUACUGGGAAACAAAUGCAGUGACAGAAAGCAGUAGCUGUGCAAACCCACAGCAGGGCCUGGAUGCUCCGGCUUCUUAACGUGACUUGUUAAUUUUUCAUGCGGGUGCUUACCUCCGGCAAACAUGGCUGACGAUGACCUCACUGCUCUUCAUUUUCAAUGGGUUCUCUAAAAACUGCAUCUCAUUGCUUCCUUAAUAAUAAAAAAAACCCUCAAAUUACAAGCCACCAUUUCCUCUUUUUUGUGUUGUUGUUGUCGAGUGUCACAAGUCGAAGCAGGUGUCACAUAUUGCUACCAUGGCAACAUCAGUUUUUGGUCUUCAAUUAGCCUGAGAGUAAGGUGUCUAUGAAUUAAUCGGUCUUUAUUCUUGUGAGGCUGGCAAAAUAACUGCAAAUGUAUGCAAAGAGGUAUGCACCGAACGUUCGAACAGUUAAGAAU